rnacentral:rRNA from 1 species
GACGAACGCUGGCGGCGUGCCUAAUACAUGCAAGUUGAGCGCUGAAGGUUGGUACUUGUACCAACUGGAUGAGCAGCGAACGGGUGAGUAACGCGUGGGGAAUCUGCCUUUGAGCGGGGGACAACAUUUGGAAACGAAUGCUAAUACUGCAUAAAAACUUUAAACACAAGUUUUAAGUUUGAAAGAUGCAAUUGCAUCACUCAAAGAUGAUCCCGCGUUGUAUUAGCUAGUUGGUGAGGUAAAGGCUCACCAAGGCGAUGAUACAUAGCCGACCUGAGAGGGUGAUCGGCCGCAUUGGGACUGAGACACGGCCCAAACUCCUACGGGAGGCAGCAGGAGGGAAACUUGGGCAAGGGACGAAAGUCUGACCGAGCAACGCCGCGUGAGGGAAGAAGGUUUUCGGAUCGUAAAACUCGGUUGGUAGGGAAGAACGUUGGUGAGAGUGGAAAGCUCAUCAAGUGACGGUAACUACCCAGAAAGGGACGGCUAACUACGUG